rnacentral:lncRNA from 1 species
UCCUGGACAUGGCUGGUUUGCUCCAACAAUAUGUAUCCACUCAGGACUUCACACACUCAGGCCUCCCUUCGCUCGCAACAGUACAUAGCAUUAAUGUUUUUUUUAUGGUUGUUUGCACCCUCCACACAUAUGCAGGACUGAGGAAACAUUUGGGAACUGGCUUUUUCCUUCCACUAUGUGUGUGUGUGUGUGUGUGUGUGUGAUUCAAUAUAGAGUCUCAGAAUCUUUUAUCCCAUUCAUUUAUUUCUCCUAAAAUUCCUGCUUCAUGAAAGUCCGGGGACUUUCCUCCCCAGGCAUAGAACUCAGGUUAUCAGGCUUGGUGGCAAGUGACUCUACCCACUGAACUAUCCUACCAACCCCCUAUGUGGCACUUUUGUCUGGAGGCGAGUUUGAUGUUUUUGCUGUAUAUUGGGAGAAAUCAAGUGUUGAAGCUGAGAUAAAGGGAGAUGAGAAGACAGGCUUGCAGGAGCCAGCCUUCGUAGGCUCUUGCAGACACGAUACGAAUUUUAUUCUAACCACAACAGGAAAUAAAAUUUUUGUGCAGGAAUA